GAGAAAUGUCUCUUGUUCUUGCCAAAGGGUCGUGUAAUUCGAAGUUUCUUUGGGAAUUUCUCAGAAGAAUGUCGAGAAGAGGGCUUUUGACGACACCGACUGUUACGUGUUUGAUAAAAUGCCUAGGAGAAGAAGGGUUGGUAAAUGAAGCAUUGACUACUUUCUACAGAAUGAAGCAAUUUCACUGUAUGCCUGAUGUUUAUGCUUACAACACACUCAUAUUUGCUCUUUGUAGAGUUGGGAAUUUCAAAAAAGCUAAGUUCUUGAUGGAGCAAAUGGAGUUGCCUGGUUUUAGGUGUCCACCCGAUGUCUU
rnacentral:misc_RNA from 1 species